rnacentral:lncRNA from 1 species
CUUAACCUUACUUGAUAAUUACAAAGCUCUUACUCCUUGGAGUGAAGUAAAGCUAACUUGCAAAGAGGCUUCUAUUUCCUAACUCAGUCAAGGGGCUAUCCUUUAGAUAAAGCAAAGACAAUGAAUCUUGGACAUUUGGUGAAGAGGGAUUAUAAUUUAUACCUUUUACCUAAAAAUGCACAGAUGAAGUUACAAAUAACAUGAUUAGUAAUAUCCAGAAGGUUAGAAUACAUCAGUUUUCAGGAAAAACAAGUAAGUAUUGCUAUGGUGGAGACCAGAGAUUUCUCUUUUUUGGGUGGGGAGGGGUGUCAUAAUGUGAAGACAGCACGUAAUUUGACAAUAUCCUCAACAACAUCCCUUCAUUCUAUACCACAACAGGUUUCUUACAACUGCUUUCUAGAAAUUCAAUCUCUGCAGACUGAUAUGAUGACAAUGGGAAAAUCGAUAAAAGUAAUUCUAAAAGAACCACCAAAAACAUGUGAUUCAUACUUUGGACAAAUCAUUAAUUAUUACCCAGAGGAUGCCUCCUAUUGCAACACAAGUGUCCAGAAUUUAGUCUUUACUGGGCCUCUCAGGUGAGCCAAAUUCUGACUGGCUUUCAAGUUUAAGCUUAAAGCUAGUUUGAUUUGAUUUAAUCUUGGAUUAUGUGAAAGAUCAUUGAUUUUUCUGACUGUGUGACUUUUGUUUUGUUUCCAAUUUUGACAGUGCUUUGAGAUGGCUUUUCCUCCAAAAGCACUCCAUAAAAAUGAAGUUGUGGUUAAAAAAAAAAAAAAAAAAAAAGCCUUGCUUUAAGGUUACCUGGUGAUAUCCCCACAUGACAUUUGCUUUAAAAGAAUUCUGUGAGAAAUAAACAGACUUGCCAAAAGGAAAAUCGUUCUUAAAAAAAAAAAAAAAAAAGAAGAAGAAGAAGAAGAGGGGAGAAAAAAACAAAACCCUGCUACUGAAGAUAAGUAAAAAGGAUAAUGAAUGUUAUAAUCUCCAAAAAUUACUGUCCUACUUAUCAAAGUUUAUAUGUCAGAUGAAGGGAUAGUAGAUUAAAAGAAAUUUAUUUGUUUAUAUGCACAAAGAUGCCAAGUUAAUCCCCCUUUUCUUGUGCUAAAACUUGAUUAAGCUGUUCUGGACAUACUCUUUUCUGAAAGUUAGAGAAGCAGAUAAAUAGUGAGUGAAAGGUCUAUGAUGACCCGACAAUCAAAAUGAAUGAAUAUACAAACACAGCAUUUAUUAAAUCAACUGAUACAAAACAUGAGAGCCCAUUUCAAUUAAGAAACUAAAGAAUAGAAUUUAACUGAGGGCUUAAGUUCUGAGUAGGCAACUUGAUCACCUAACACAAGGUUAUAAAUCAUCCUUUAUUAAUAAGUCAAUUCAAUUCACAAUUUUUGGCAGACACAGUUCUAGGCCCUGGGAAUAAAUUUGUAAAGGGGAUUGAUGGUGUUCUUUUCCACAUGAACCAUAAAAUUCAUUGGAGAAAAUGAACAAUAAACAAUUAAUUUCAAAUAUAAUGAUUAUGAACGCAGUAGAAAGAAAUGUUAUGGGACCAUAUGGCAAAACAGUCUAACCAUUGUUUCUAUUCAAUUGCCAUUCAGAUUCUUUUUUGUUUUGUUUUGCUUUUUAAGAUUUUUUUUUUUUUUUUUUUUUUUUUUUGCCGGGGGGAGACAUGGGACUCCAUCCCAGGACCCUGGGAUCAUGACCUGAGUGGAAGGCAGAUGCUUAACGAAUGAGCCAUCCAAGGCUCUGCCAUUCAGAUUCUUUAGUGUGAUGUCCCACCAUCCCCUAGGGUAGUAAGUAGGAUGGUAAAUGCUUCUUUUCUUUUUCCCUUUUUUUCUCCAUUUCUUUUAUCUAUCCUGCCCCUUUACAUAAAUAUCCAUAUAAACUAUGUGCUCACCCUCUUCUGCUCGGAAUGGACACUUAGCAAAGAACAUAUGGACACCACCCUGCCUUUAAAGUGUUUAAAAUAAACAAGGUUAUGUAAAUAAAUCCAAAUUGGUAUGAGAGAGAAAACUAAUUAGUCUGGGGUGCUAUCUGAUAAAUUGAUUUGAGGAGGUGACACUUAAAUUGAGAUUUUUUUUUUUAAAGAAUAGAAAAAUAAAUGUUUUCCAGGCAGACAGAAUAACAGUAUAUGUGAAGUCUUCACCACAGGAAAGAGUUGGAAGAAUUAAGACUCCCGCUGUGAAGAGUUUGGAUCAAGGAGAGAAGGGAGGUGCUCCAGAGACACAUGAAUGUUUAAUAGUGAGGAUGUUAAGGACUAAAAAGCCAAUUUAAUAUAGCAUUUCAUCACGUGGUCUUAAAUGAUAAUGUUAGUGAGUAUUGAAGCUGGGGAUAGGGAGAACAAAAUGAUGCUUCAGAAGGCUGGUCUGGUGACAGGAAGUCAGAAAGUUUUAAGGAUUUUGCCUAUAUACACUGUGUUUAUAGGCUUUUAUAGGUUUUCUGAUCUGUUAAACAAUAUGAAAAUGCUAUAGACUUCUAUAUUAUUGGAGUUC